GGGGGAAGAUGAGCAUUUUGGGGGGAAGGUUCACCCCAGCCCACUCCACUAGAUGAAACCCUGCUGGGACAGGAACCUGACUGUACUCGUGAGGAGCAGGCUCAUAAAAUGAGCAUCAAUUGCUGAAACUGAGCUUGCCAUCCACCUCAUGCUCCACUUUGACCUUGUCCACGUGACCUUUUUUUAUCCUCAACCAGUGUAGAUUUCUCCUCCUCCUCUUAGCCAGCUGUCCUUCUCUAUAAUACCUCAGCCUGUGGAGGACAGAGAUAGCUUUGUUUGAUAUAAAUAGAGGUCAAUCAAAAAGGUACUGUAUUUCCAAGAUUGAACAGGCAUAGCUUGUACGUGUAAGGGGACUCAUAAAGUAAAGGACUGAGGAUAAUUAAAUUGCACAGAUGCAAGUGCGUAAGGAGUUGUUGUAUCGUUGUAUGUUGCCCUCCAUCAGCUUUGAUGGGCUAAAACAUCACUGGCGCCUCUUAAAGUCUCUAGUACGCAGUCAAGCUAAGGACAUGUAUUUCUGGAACUCUUCCACCAAUUGUUGUCUGACGCGUA